rnacentral:rRNA from 1 species
UACGUAGGGGGCGAGCGUUGUCCGGAUUCAUUGGGCGUAAAGAGCUCGUAGGCGGUUCGGCAAGUCGGGUGUGAAAACUCCAGGCUCAACCUGGAGACGCCACCCGAUACUGCUGUGACUCGAGUCCGGUAGGGGACCACGGAAUACCUGGUGUAGCGGUGAAAUGCGUUGAUAUCGAUAGGAACUCCGGUGGCGAAGGCGGCAUACUGGACCACAUCUGACGCUGAGGCGCGAAAGCCAGGGGAGCAAACGGG